rnacentral:rRNA from 1 species
AGAACGAACGCUGGCGGCGGGGUUUAGGCAUGCAAGUCGAGCGAGAAAGCCGCAAGGCAAGUACAGCGGCGUAAGGGUGAGUAAUGGUUAGUCAACGUACCGGGCAGACGCGAAUAAUUUCUCGAAAGGGAAGGUAAUGCGCGAUGAGACCACGGCUUCUACGGGAGCUGCGGUCAAAGGUCGGGGAUCCUUCGGGACCUGGCGCU